AGUUCCCUGGGGUGUUCGGUUAUUAACUAUGUCCCUGAGCCGAUAAGUUUUACCUAAGGGGGUCUAUCGGUUGCUAUUGAGCAGGCCCAACUUGUUUGGGAAGCCUACGGUAAUUGUGCGAUCUCCGCCUUGAACACACGGUUGUUCGAGGACUGGUGUUAAUAAUGGCAUUUUGGGGAACUG
rnacentral:other from 1 species